CUGGGCCAAAGGGUGCCACGACCCACCCUUUCAGAAUUGAAAAUGAUAAUUAAGUUUACAAUAAGCAUUUGGCCCAGCCCAAAUAUAUCUGAGUCCAAUACACCGACUACCUGCUGCCACGCACGCUCGUCUCUCCUCCUUUCCCCCCAAAUCUACCAAACCUUAUCUGUUCUUCUAUCCCUAAAUCGACCAGUCCUCUGUUCUCCUCCCUUUCCCAAAUCAACCAGGUCUUUCACUCGCUUCUCGCUGCUGCCAACCGCUGGCCGCCGGCGUUGCCAACUUCCGCGCCCUCCAUAGUGAGGGCCCUCCAGGCCGCCACGACGGGUGUGGGGUGUCUGCUGAUGUUUGCUGCUUCUUCUCCUUCCCUCACUACCUUCUCCGCUCGUGUUGCCUGCUGCCGCCGACUGAUAAAUUAAUCGGUGAACUGUUGUUGAAGGGCCGAAGGAGCAAGACUGCUGCAAGAGGAAAGUAUGUUUCAAAAUUAAUUAAAGAAAAAUGAUUCAAUGAUUUUCUUCGUAGACUUGCAUAAAGUUUUGGUUGCCGUGUACUUUUUGAAGUUACUAUCUCCGUCAGCCAUGUAUUAUGCCAAAUUUUGAUAGCCUAACCAUCCAUAUUUUUUGUGAUAUGCACAUCAUUUAUGAAGUACAGGUUCAGAUCCAUCAUUCAUUCAUGCUUUUUGGGCUUCGACUUUUUCUAGUAGUAUAUCAGACAGUCAGCCAUCUUCUGAAUCAGAAAAAGAGGUGACAGUGAUUUUUGAAUUUUUUGUGAGGUAACACUGGCGAAACAGCAAACCAUGGUCCAGGAAAGCAUAUAUGUAGUUAUUGGCCAUAUGCAGGCAUCUUUUGGUCAGUCUGGUGUGUUCUAUAGUUGUCGCCUUGGACAACUUUUGGCCAGGCCGAUGUAUUCUACAGUUGAGGCAAUGGUGCACUUUUGGCCAGUCUGGUGUAUUCUAUAGUUGUGGCAAUGGAGUGGUCAUUAUCCACAAUACCAGGUUAUCUACAUAGCUACAGCUUGAAUCCGUAUGUGGUCAUUACUCACUCAUGCGGACUCCAUGGAGCUUUUGGUUAUUGGGUGCAACCGGUGGGAGACAGUAGCACGGCCUAUCUUCAGCUGAUUUGGAUGACGAGCUAAUAAUAGAAAGACUAUAGGCAUCGUAGCCUAUUCUGUUUGGCCGGAUGUGGCAUCUUUUUUGUGUUUUCUUUCGUUUUGCACUAAGAUUGUGGGCCUUUUGUGGUCCUAAGACUUUGUUACAUUACUUUUAAGAUGGUUGUAUGCAUCGAUUGAUGCAGAGGCUGGAGGUUUUUUCUCCUUUAAAAAAAUGCGACCAAGAGGAGGAGACCCCGGCACAUCUUAUCUUUGGGUGCCCUUACUCCAGAUGACAUUCCAGGGCUUGCUGCUGCAUCGUUGGCUGAAACUUCUAUCUUAGCUUGGUGGAAUGAAAUCAUUUGCCCUUUUGGAGCCAAGGCCUGCUCCACGGCCAUCUACACUCGAUGGAACAUAUGGAAGGAGAGGAAUAGGAGGAUCUUCGAUAGCAAACUCUUGCGGGAACACUAUCUGCUGGAGCUCAUCAAAACUGACAUUUUUCAGCCGGCACUCUCCAUGCACUGGCUUAGCGACACUGAGAAUGCCCUAGAACCUGAGCCUGAUUAACUUCGAAGCACUAGUUUCUAGUUUCCGUACUCCCUCCCCACCCCCAUGUACUUCUUGACAGACUCUUGUAUUUGAUUUACUCCUGCUUAAUAUAUCGGCGUCAAUGCUGCCAUUCCC
rnacentral:rRNA from 1 species